GCUUUGGCCGAAGAACCUCCGAUGCCAAAGUUAGAAUUUUUAGAGAGAAAUAGUGUUUAGAGUAUUUGAGAUUUUUUGCAAGAGGUUUGGAAUGAAUUUUUGGUGAGAAUAGGAGCCUAUUUAUAGGAUUAGGCUUCUCCAUUUUCACCAAGGAAUGGCCGGCCACCUCUUCAUUUUCUUAGUGAAUUUGUGGUUUUAUUAGCCCCUUUAUUGGCUAAUAAAAUAUGAUAGAAAUGAAUGGGGUGUUAUCCAAUUAAAUGAUUAGCUUUA
rnacentral:lncRNA from 1 species